CUCCCAGGUGGUGCUGGAGGCCCAGGUGGCCGGGGCCGGCCUCAACAUGGCCAGCGGGGCAUCCAUGAGCAGCAGCCACCGCGCCAGGGACAACGCUGGGAUCAUCUCCCGCAUCACUUGUUACCUGGCGAUGGCCAUUAUCUUCCUGCGGAGACUCAUCAGCACCUGUGUCUCCGCCAUGCAAAAGAUGCCCCAGAAGAAAAAAAGGCUCUGGAAAGUCCUCUUCUGCAUCUCUGCC